GGGGCGAGCACGAAUAGCAUAUUGGUUGGCGACCGGCGCACGGUGCGUAACACGUAUACAACCUACCUAUAACAGGGGAGUAGCUUCGUAAGAAGAGAUUAAUACCCCGUAAUAAAUUGAGUGGCAUCACUUGAUUUUGAAAGCUACGGCGGUUAUAGAUGGGUAUGCGUCUGAUUAGCUAGUUGGUGAGGUAACGGCUCACCAAGGCGACGAUCAGUAGGGGAUCUGAGAGGACUAACCCCCACACUGGUACUGAGACACGGACCAGACUCCUACGGGAGGCAGCAGUAAGGAAUAUUGGUCAAUGGAGGCAACUCUGAACCAGCCAUGCCGCGUGCAGGAUGACGGCCCUAUGGGUUGUAAACUGCUUUUGUACCAGAGAAAACCUACUCACGUGUGAGUAGCUGAUAGUAUGGUAAGAAUAAGCAUCGGCUAACUUCGUG
rnacentral:rRNA from 1 species